rnacentral:rRNA from 1 species
UGGGGAAUAUUGCGCAAUGGGGGAAACCCUGACGCAGCAACGCCGCGUGAAGGAUGAAGGUUUUCGGAUUGUAAACUUCUUUGAUGAGGGACGAACACAAUGACGGUACCUCAAAAACAAGCCACGGCUAACUACGUGCCAGCAGCCGCGGUAAUACGUAGGUGGCAAGCGUUGUCCGGAAUUACUGGGUGUAAAGGGCGUGUAGGCGGGGAUGCAAGUGAGAUGUGAAAUUCCGGGGCUCAACCCCGGCGCUGCAUCUGAAACUGUAUCUCUUGAGUGCUGGAGAGGAAAGCGGAAUUCCUAGUGUAGCGGUGAAAUGCGUAGAUAUUAGGAGGAACACCGGUGGCGAAGGCGGCUUUCUGGCUGAAAACUGACGCUGAUGCGCGAAAGCGUGGGGAGCAAACAGG